rnacentral:rRNA from 1 species
CCUACGGGGGGCAGCAGUGGGGAAUAUUGCGCAAUGGGCGAAAGCCUGACGCAGCGACGCCGCGUGAGGGAUGAAGGUCUUCGGAUCGUAAACCUCUGUCAGCAGGGAAGAACGGUCACUGUGCUAAUCAGCAGUGACUUGACGGUACCUGCAAAGGAAGCACCGGCUAACUCCGUGCCAGCAGCCGCGGUAAUACGGAGGGUGCGAGCGUUAAUCGGAAUUACUGGGCGUAAAGCGCUCGUAGGCGGUAUGUCAAGUCAAGGGUGAAAUCCCCGCGCUCAACGUGGGAACUGCCUUUGAAACUGGCAAACUGGAGUGUGUGAGAGGAGAGUGGAAUUCCAGGUGUAGGAGUGAAAUCCGUAGAUAUAUGGAGGAACAUCAGUGGCGAAGGCGACUAUCUGGCACAUAACUGACGCUGAGGAGCGAAAGCGUGGGUAGCAAACAGGAUUAGAUACCCUUGUAGUC